GCGGACGUAACUCAGUGGUAGAGUGAAAGCUUCCCAAGCUUUAGGCCGCGGGUUCGAAUCCCGUCGUCCGCUCCA
rnacentral:tRNA from 1 species